rnacentral:rRNA from 1 species
UUUUAUGGAGAGUUUGAUCCUGGCUCAGGAUGAACGCUGGCGGCGUGCCUAAUACAUGCAAGUCGAGCGAACGGACGAGAAGCUUGCUUCUCUGAUGUUAGCGGCGGACGGGUGAGUAACACGUGGAUAACCUACCUAUAAGACUGGGAUAACUUCGGGAAACCGGAGCUAAUACCGGAUAAUAUUUUGAACCGCAUGGUUCAAAAGUGAAAGCCGGUCUUGCUGUCACUUAUAGAUGGAUCCGCGCUGCAUUAGCUAGUUGGUAAGGUAACGGCUUACCAAGGCAACGAUGCAUAGCCGACCUGAGAGGGUGAUCGGCCACACUG